GUCCCUGUGCUGCCCCCGUUGUAGGGAGAGACAAGUUAUGUAGAAGAGGCGGGCUGGGUUUGGGGUGAAGUAGGGUGAAAUAGCAGAAAAACCAAGUGGCAGGAAGGAUCCAGCCUGCCUCCAACUCUCCACUUCCUCUUUUAAGGUGCCAAGAAUAAACCAGGAUUUAAAAUCAAACUUAAAAAAAAUUCACAAAAUCCCUAAAGCUGCUUUCCCAGAAAUCAGUGGCAGUGGUUUGUGCAGCAGAUGAGAUUUGGCCAAGCCCUGCUGGACAGUGGGUGGGGCUGCAAGGCAGGAGGUGGGCCAGGAGAUGCCCAGGACCUAGGCUGUCCCCACCUUGGUUGUCGAUGUUGUUAUUCGUAAUAAUAAUGAGCCGCCCAUUGAGGGCUUGGGAUGAAUGUGUGUGGAAUAAAUGGUAGGUGGACUGAGCGUUUCCUAUCCCUGGCAUGGCCCUCUGGGAGGUGCGGGGCGGUCUGCCUUGCCAGAGGUCAUGGCUGAGUCUACACAAAGCUGGUGUCCUCAGAGAGGCUGAGCUGAGCCUACCGCAGCCUGCACACUCCUCAGCCUUCCUGCCCACCCUGCCGUCAGGCUGAGUAGAUGGUCAUUUGCUUCCCAGCCGGCGGGCAGCUACUGAUGUUUUUAUGGGCAGAUUGCAGGCGGAUUCUUUGCCACGAACGAGCACCACCUGGGAAGCCCAAUGGAGACAGAGUGAUGAACAAAAACGACACAUUCCUGAUGCUCGAGGGCAUCAACGAGGGUACCAAGAGAGGGCUUCGCGGAUGGAUACGGAUGGGUACUCCUGAGAAUACAGGUGAUGGAUCUGCAAGAGUGCUGCUGGUGAACGUUGAUAACGCCACCAAGUCAUCGCAGGUUAAAUGUGACGUUCCAAGCGAACUGAUCGGCAAGAAGGAAGAGGAAGAGAGAAGACCGUGCCCCAUCCUCACCCCGUCCCAGCUGGUGGUCAGGACCCCAAGGUCUUCUCCCUCAGACUGUACAAGCAUGCACCCAGGGCGGAGGCCCCGCACACCCCCAGUUAAAGAGCUCGGUGAGCCUGGUGUCUCUGGUGACAGCUGGUGCUGAGCCUGGCCUGGGGGAUGAAUCGUGUCUUCCUGGAAUCCACGUUUUGAGGUCCUAACCCGCAGAACUUCAGCACGUCACCUUAUUUGGAAAAAGAGUCAUUGCAGAUGUGAUUUGCUAAGAGGGGGUUAUCUUGGAGUCAGGUGGACCCCCUACUCCAGCAUGACUGGUGUCCUUAGAGAAAAGGAAGACUUUGGACAGGGACAGACAUACACUGCGGGGAGAAGACAUCUGUCUACGAGCCAAGGAGAGCGGCCUGGCUGUCACAGACCCUCCUCUCCCAGAGCCUCACAUAUAUAAGCCUUACCUAGGCCCACAUACCACACACUAGGAACCAACUCCAUGGACACCUGGAUGUUUGACAUCCGGCCUCUGGCACUGCGAGAUAAUAAAUUUCUGUUGCUUAAACUGCUCAGCUUCUAGCGCUUUGUUACGGCAGCCCUAGCAAACUGUUCUGGGGAUGUGAAGGCUUAAAAGUGCUUCUCCGAGCUCCUCUGCUUCCUGCAGACCCAUCUCGCAGCCUCCUGUGCUGUGAUCAGCAGGCUGCCCACAUCUUCGCCCUGCCCUAGGCUCCCCCAGCGCUAAGCACAGUGCCCUCA
ensembl:lncRNA